GCAGCAUAUGCAUUGAUGGUAGUGUACCGGUCUUCCACACCGGGGGAGAGUGUUCGAAUCACUCAUGCUGCA
rnacentral:tRNA from 1 species